rnacentral:rRNA from 1 species
UGCGUAGGCGGGUCUUUAAGUCAGGGGUGGAAUCCUGGAGCUCAACUCCAGAACUGCCUUUGAUACUGAAGAUCUUGAGUUCGGGAGAGGUGAGUGGAACUGCGAGUGUAGAGGUGAAAUUCGUAGAUAUUCGCAAGAACACCAGUGGCGAAGGCGGCUCACUGGCCCGAUACUGACGCUGAGGCACGAAAGCGUGGGGAGCAAACA